GUGGGGAAUAUUGCACAAUGGGGGAAACCCUGAUGCAGCGACGCCGCGUGAAGGAAGAAGUAUCUCGGUAUGUAAACUUCUAUCAGCAGGGAAGAUAAUGACGGUACCUGACUAAGAAGCCCCGGCUAACUACGUGCCAGCAGCCGCGGUAAUACGUAGGGGGCAAGCGUUAUCCGGAUUUACUGGGUGUAAAGGGAGCGUAGACGGCGCAGCAAGUCUGAUGUGAAAGGCAGGGGCUUAACCCCUGGACUGCAUUGGAAACUGCUGUGCUUGAGUGCCGGAGGGGUAAGCGGAAUUCCUAGUGUAGCGGUGAAAUGCGUAGAUAUUAGGAGGAACACCAGUGGCGAAGGCGGCUUACUGGACGGUAACUGACGUUGAGGCUCGAAAGCGUGGGGAGCAAACAGGAUUAGAAACCCGAGUAGUCCC
rnacentral:rRNA from 1 species